ACACAGGGUUUUGACCUACGACCAGAAUGUCAGCCAAUCAGCACUCGACAGGGAUUUCCCGCUAUUUUUCGUCUCCCGCUGGCCUGGUCUCUCGCGCCAACAUGGCUGCCGCGCCGUCCCUACUGAAGUUAGGGGACGAAUUUCUCACUUGGGCAGAGUUUAAGGCAGCACUGGACAACUAUCAAGAAACAACACACGCUGAGCUCAGUAAGAUCAGUAGCAAGAAGGUGGAAACUGAGAACAGGAAAUUACCUGAAGGCGUCCAAAAGUUUCCGUGUGCUCAUGUUUAUAAAGCGGUGAAGUUUGGAUGUAUUCAUUACGGGAAGCCGCGCCUGUCAGGGUCGGGAAUCCGGCCAAAUCAGUCGCAAUUCUGUAUGGCCUCCACAAGAUCAAGGGAAUCAGCAUGGAGGCAGCUCAGCAACUGAUGGAUAAGGGACCAGAGCGAUCCCCUGAAGAGACGUGGUACAGGGACUAGAAAGAGGAGGAGAAGAACCAUCCACCGGACAUUUUAGCUAGUUUUUUAAAAAAUUUUAAUUUUUUAUAUUCCACAAUCCCAGAGCCGUGGUCUUUAUUCUUUUGUCACAUGUUACAUGAUGAUAUUUACAAUAUAUACAGUAUGUUUAUUUCAAUCUAUCAGGUAAAGAAGAUCCCCCCAUUUUCUUUUUGCUUUUCCGUAUGAUAUAUUUUGCUCUAUUUUUAAGCUGGACAUAAAAUCAUUUAAGAAAACAGAGAAUGGAUCAAUUAUUUUGUAGAAGCUUUUUUCCUUAUAUAGACACCAGGUUUUAAAUAUUGCAUACUGUGCUAUACCAAUCAUAUGAUUACCUGCAUUUGUUUGUUGUAAGUUCCUUGGAAGUCCAUAUAUUAAUGUUUCAAUAUUGAUAUCUUUUAUGAUAAUUAUGAUGUUCAGUAUUUUUUCAGUAUUAUGAUGUUCAGUAUUUUUCCAAAAAUUUUUAAGUCCUUUACAUUGAAAGAACAUAUGGUUUUCGUCCUCUAUUUCCAAACAGAUGUUACAUAGAGGUGACUGUAUUAAUUUCCAUUUCUCGGGUUCUAACAUAUUUCUGCCUAUCGCUUUGUGCCAACUACAGAUAACAUGUUUGUAGUACAAAGGUAUGUGUUCCAUGUUAGGACAAUCCCGUUUGUCUUUAAAUUGCAUAUUUAGAAUAAGGAAAUCUUUUCCAAAACUGUUAAGAAACAGACGUGGAAGUAUCUUCCAGUCCCCCUCUGAGUUAUCCAUUAACCGCCUGAUAACACUAGCAUGUAAGGCAUCAAUUUGCGAUGGAAUAUGAGUCAUCUUUAGACCUGUAUUACAAUCUUCGACCUGAUGUCCAAAAUUUAUAAGCAUUUUAGCUAGUUAGUUAGUUACAGAGGUAGCUCAGGACCUGCAGCAAGUAUAUGUACCGGUAUGUACUUGGAUGCUCGACGUUGUAAACCUUACACACACAGACUUGUCAGCCUGCAUGACCCAGGAGCAAGUAGGGGAACAAUACUCUGGCAUACUUGUG